rnacentral:lncRNA from 1 species
CGCAUAAUAGUUAUGGCUCUUAACUUUUCACUUCUAGUUGCAUAAUCACCCUGAAUGAUACUCCUUCUGAGUCCUCUUGAUUUCAGGGUAACUGAAGUGUUCAUUGCACAUUCUAGAUAAUUAUCUCUAGGGAGAUUUAGAAUGGCAUAAUCCAUGGGUUCAAAUCUCGGCAUUUGAAAUCAUAUUAUCAAUUUAUGAUUUAGAAUUCUUGCAACCAAUUAAAUAAUCAGUGCAUAUGAUUUCAUAAGUCUAUCUUUGAUGCUUAGGCCACACGGCUUUGCAAUGUGAUGCUUAGGCCACACGGCCAUAUUAGUGGUACAACGAUGUUAUGGAUCGGAUCAUAAUGCAGUCCGGGUCAUAUGACCAUCCGGAUACUAGGCUACACGGCCACAUAGAUAUGCAUUAAGCCAAACGGUUUUAAUCUCAAUCAAGGGCACAAGGCCGCGAGUAUAAUCAAUGCUUUAGGCCACACGGCCGUUCGGUAUGUUCGUAACACAAUGUCACACAAUCCAUAUCAA